UAUAGGUCAAUAUGCCUCCGUGAGGGUUUCUAUGACCACAGUGAUCAUCUCUCAUAUAUUAUUUUUGUUCAGUAUGACUUCAAAAUUGUGUUUUGUUGUCCUCCUAGGUUUGAUUUUACUGUCAGACCGGAUGUCCUGAUUUUUGACUUGGAGAAUUUCUUGACGAUAUUGGCCACCAUGAGAUGAGCUCUGAGUGUGAGAGGCGCCUGGUUUUCACAGAGUUUCACAGAGUUCCCACACCUGGAGCAGAAGCACUGCUGCACCAACGAUGACUGAAGCAAGAACGAUCCGGCUCCGGAAAGGAAAUUCUCAAGGUGAAGAAACUGAGGUCCACAGGAAUGAAAUAACUUGCCUAAGGAGCACAAUGGGUCCCAUAAACGCGCUUUGAAUGGUUACUCCAAGACUGGUAGCAGAACAUUAUGCCUUUGGGACGCGGAAAGAGCCACACAUGAUUGUGUUCGAUCAGACCAGGCUGGUUACGAGAAGAAAGGAAUCU